rnacentral:rRNA from 1 species
UACGUAGGGUGCGAGCGUUAAUCGGAAUUACUGGGCGUAAAGCGUGCGCAGGCGGGCUUUUAAGCCAGACGUGAAAUCCCCGGGCUUAACCUGGAAUGGCGUUUGGGACUGGAAGUCUAGAGUGCGGCAGAGGAGACUGGAAUUCCUGGUGUAGCAGUGAAAUGCGUAGAUAUCAGGAGGAACACCGAUGGCGAAGGCAGGUCUCUGGGCUGACACUGACGCUCAUGCACGAAAGCGUGGGGAGCAAACAGG